UAGAGUUUGAUCCCUGCUCAGAGUGAACGCUGGCGGCAGGCCUAACACAUGCAAGUCGAACGGCAGCACAGAGGAGCUUGCUCCUUGGGUGGCGAGUGGCGGACGGGUGAGGAAUACAUCGGAAUCUGCCUAUUUGUGGGGGAUAACGUAGGGAAACUUACGCUAAUACCGCAUACGACCUACGGGUGAAAGCGGAGGACCUUCGGGCUUCGCGCAGAUAGAUGAGCCGAUGUCGGAUUAGCUAGUUGGCGGGGUAAAGGCCCACCAAGGCGACGAUCCGUAGCUGGUCUGAGAGGAUGAUCAGCCACACUGGAACUGAGACACGGUCCAGACUCCUACGGGAGGCAGCAGUGGGGAAUAUUGGACAAUGGGCGCAAGCCUGAUCCAGCCAUGCCGCGUGGGUGAAGAAGGCCUUCGGGUUGUAAAGCCCUUUUGUUGGGAAAGAAAAGCAGUCGGUUAAUACCCGAUUGUUCUGACGGACCCAAAGAAUAA
rnacentral:rRNA from 1 species